AUCACCUGGGCAUCUUGUUAAAAUGCACAUUCUCAUGCAGCAGGUCUAGGGCAUGGCCUGAGAUUCUGCAUUUCUAACAGGUGUCCAAAUGAUGCCCA
rnacentral:pre_miRNA from 1 species